rnacentral:lncRNA from 1 species
UGGUAAUCCAAUGUAUAAGCAAUGGACUGUUUUAUUCUUGGUGCUUUCAAGACCUGAUGCUUUGUUUUGAACAGGUUGAUACAUCUAGGAGUGAAAUACAUCACCGCUUUCCCUGCUCCCGCCGCCAUUAAAAUUGUGUUUGGCAUCUGACCACCAAGAUACAGAUAUUUCCUAGACUGUUUUGCAGCUAGGUACUUAGCAUUUCUCUUUCCUCUGGAGAAAAAUAUCUGCUUUCUUUAAAAUAAAUGUUCCAUCCAUGCAGCUAAGCAGCUAAGGACACGAACAGCCACUGAUACAGGCCAACUCAUCAGUAGAUUAUUGAGGAAUCAUUCUCUUCAGUCAGAUCACGAUUUGAGUUUGAACUAACCAGAGAGUAGCAGAAGGAACGUUUUCUCAUUUCCAUGUCCAGAAAGAUAUAUUCCUGCUACCCUCCUGAAGUCAGAGGAUGAAAUCAUAGUCAAUACAUCUUUGCAGAUAAACUAUUAGAUUUCAUACUAGGACCUUUCAUUGGCUGAACAAAGACAAAGACAGAAAUCAAGGAAGGUCAAAGAAGCAGUCAGUUUUCUGGCACCCAAAGUUGUUGGAGAAGGGUACAGAGUCGGUAAAUAAGUCAUAUGACAGACAGGCAGUAUUUUCUUAUUUUAAUAACAAGUUUAAAAAUCCCACUUCUUGUACUUACCUUCUGUCUGACGUCAUCAGUAUUUUAAAAUGCCAACUGGGAUCAAGUUCAACACUGCAUUACUGAAGAAUCCAGAUUAUCUACAUUUCAAGUGCCAAAUGAAAGAAAGAACCCAGAAAAUAAAACAAUAUGAUGAUAACAGUAAAAUUUUUUAAAAUGAAAUUUAUGGUCUAAAUCCUGAUCAUUAAUGGUUAUUUCAUAUUGAAGCAAUGAGG